UACGGAGGGUGCAAGCGUUAAUCGGAAUUACUGGGCGUAAAGCGCACGUAGGCGGAUCAGUCAGUCAGGGGUGAAAUCCCGGGGCUCAACCCCGGAACUGCCUUUGAGACUGCGUCGCUCGAAUCCGGGAGAGGCGGGUGGAAUUCCGAGUGUAGAGGUGAAAUUCGUAGAUAUUCGGAAGAACACCAGUGGCGAAGGCGGCCCGCUGGACCGGCAUUGACGCUGAGGUGCGAAAGCGUGGGGAGCAAACAGG
rnacentral:rRNA from 1 species